rnacentral:rRNA from 1 species
GACGUAGGGCGCGAGCGUUGUCCGGAUUUAUUGGGCGUAAAGAGCUCGUAGGCGGCUUGUCGCGUCGAAUGUGAAAUCUCAGGGCUCAACUCUGACAUUGCAUUCGAUACGGGCAGGCUCGAGUUCGGUAGGGGAGACUGGAAUUCCUGGUGUAGCGGUGAAAUGCGCAGAUAUCAGGAGGAACACCGGUGGCGAAGGCGGGACUCUGGGCCGAUACUGACGCUGAGGAGCGAAAAGCGUGGGGAGCAAACAGG